AACGAACGCUGGCGGCAUGCCUAACACAUGCAAGUCGAACGAGACCUUCGGGUCUAGUGGCGCACGGGUGCGUAACGCGUGGGAACCUGCCCUUAGGUUCGGAAUAACUCCCCGAAAGGGGUGCUAAUACCGGAUAAUGUCUUCGGACCAAAGAUUUAUCGCCUUUGGAUGGGCCCGCGUUGGAUUAGCUAGUUGGUAGGGUAAAAGCAUACCAAGGCGACGAUCCAUAGCUGGUCUGAGAGGAUGAUCAGCCACACUGGGACUGAGACACGGCCCAGAAUCCUACGGGAGGCAGCAGUGGGGAAUAUUGGAAAAUGGGCGAAAGCAUGAUCCAGCAAUGCCGGGUGAGUGAUGAAGGCCUUAGGGUUGUAAAGCUCUUUUACCCGGGAUGAUAAUGACAGUACCGGGAGAAUAAGCCCCGGCUAACUCCGUG
rnacentral:rRNA from 1 species